GAGGGGUAGAAUUUAGCGAGGGAGAGAGACUUUGGCUCAAUUAAGUAAAAAGUUAGAUGGGCUCAGUUUUCUUGGGCAAGUCUGGCCUGUUGUGCAAAGCACCCGCACUCCCUGACUCUUCCCCAAACACAAGAGCUAAGGUGGGUGUUCUGUUCCUCCCACUUCUGCCUCCAAAUGACCUGGAGGGAAUUUGUGUCCCAGCUGUUCCCUUCCCUGCCACCUUUGCUCCAGGUGGGAGGAUCACCUGAGUGAGCCUGAGGAGGUCAAGGCUGCGGUGAACCAUGAUCAC
ensembl:lncRNA novel transcript